UACGUAGGGGGCAAGCGUUGUCCGGAAUUAUUGGGCGUAAAGAGCGUGUAGGCGGCCAGGUAGGUCUGGUGUGAAAACUCGAGGCUUAACCUCGAGAUGUCAUCGGAAACCAUUUGGCUAAAGUCCGGAAGAGGAGAGUGGAAUUCCUGGUGUAGCGGUGAAAUGCGCAGAUAUCAGGAAGAACACCAAUGGCGAAAAGCAGCUCUCUGGGACGG
rnacentral:rRNA from 1 species